rnacentral:rRNA from 1 species
UACGGAGGGUGCAAGCGUUGUCCGGAUUUAUUGGGUUUAAAGGGUGCGUAGGCGGCCGCGUAAGUCCGGGGUGAAAGCCCACUGCUCAACAGUGGAACUGCCCUGGAAACUGGAGAACUUGAGUACAGACGAGGGCGGCGGAAUGGAUGGUGUAGCGGUGAAAUGCAUAGAUACCAUCCAGAACCCCGAUUGCGAAGGCAGCUGCCUAGACUGUAACUGACGCUGAGGCACGAAAGCGUGGGGAGCGAACAGG